UGUUAAUUGCAGGAAUGGAAUGCCUUGCCACCUUCAUCCCACUAGUGCUCUCUAUGGAUUGGGUUACACUCCUGAUAACGUGGUUUAUCAUGAGCUUAUCUUGACAUCAAAGGAGUACAUGCAGUGUGUGACAGCUGUGGAGCCUCACUGGUUGGCUGAACUGGGGCCCAUGUUUUUCUCCGUGAAAGAUUCUGAUACAUCAAUGCUGGAACAUAAAAAGAAACAGAAAGAGGAGAAAACUGCCAUGGAGGAAGAAAUGGAGAAGUUGCGUAAAGUACAGGCUGAAGCUGACAGACGAAACAAGGAGAAGGAGAAGGAAAAGAGAGCAAAAGAACUGCAACAGGUUUCUAUGCCUGGGUUGAAGAAAGGCUCAACUACUUAUUUACGACCCAAGAGGCUCGGUCUGUAAAUUACACUUUUUGCUGUAGUUGUUAGAUAUCUGUUGUGAUGAUUCUUGUCCCAGUGCAAAAACCACGUACAAUUCUUAGCCUAUCUCUUAGUCAUCCUCAAAUUAAUUUAGUGGAUGGAGAUUCAGAGAAGUAAAAAUUCAAAAGAAAGUAUACAGUGAACAAAAGCAUGUAUAACUCCUUCAUAUGGUUAUCAUCUUUACCCCUUGCAGCCCUGAAUUUGACGUGUUUGUAUAAGUUUCUUGAUAAAACAGUUACAUUUUCUCCUUUGCUUUUGGCAGCAUUCAGAUUGCACAUUUGCUACUAUUGUUGUAUUACAUUAUCUUCUUAUCUGGAGUGAUA
rnacentral:misc_RNA from 1 species